UGGGUCACCUAAGAAAUGGACCCCUAUAACUGUCUGAAUAUAAAUCGCAUUUCUCUGUACCACGACUCUCAGAUACACUAGUCAGCUAUGAUAUAAAAGUAUAGAAAGGUAAUAAAGUUUGAAACCUGCUUCUUGACAAGCAAUUUUCAAAACAUGACCCAUCUUGCCCCACCUCAUUUUUACGGGGGCAAGAUGGGUCAGCUAUCAGAAAACUCGAUUUUUCUCCAACAAAAAUACUAUAUCUUCUAUUUUUUCUCUAUACAUCUAAGCUUCACAGACGUACAGAUUACAUGAAAAAAGUGUUGAAACAUAUCGGUAGAUUAUUCUCAGAACUAGAAGAUUUUUGUUCAGGUAGCCAUGAACGGACUUUGAAAACUUAUAUUUUUUGUAGGAAAAUUUCAAAAAUAGUUUCACAAACUCUCAGUGCUCUAAUUGCUUCGAUAAUGUAGGUCACAGAAUAGCCUUUCAAUGAAGAAUAACACAUUUUCAAAAACUAUGCAAACAUACCGAAAAAUUAGGGUGACCCAUCUUGCCCCGUCUACACAAUACACGUAGUUACAUGGAAUGUAUAGCAUAAGGAGUAUAGCGAAAAAAUAUUUUAUUUUUUUCUGUGCAAGGAACGUAAAGAAUUUUUAAAACAAUAUAUCACUUUUUUGUGUAUCCACUUCGUUCAUCUGGGAAAAUUAUUGAAAGAUUCAAAAAAUAUAUAGUACGGUUGAAAACGGUACUGACCCAUCUUGCCCCCUGACCCAUCAUACUAUAUUUCUAAAAUCCUUAUUUGGUUCAGAUUGGCUUCAUCGACGAUUUUCUAGUAUUUGGUGAGACAGAAGAAGCACACGACAAGGCAUUGGAAACAGUUGUUCGUAGGUUCGAGGAACUUGGAGUUCAACUGAACCACCAGAAAUGUAAGUUCAAGCAGUUGGAAGUGAUUUUCUUAGGCCACCGGCUUUCGGAGAAAGGAGUCCUUCCAUCGGACGAUAAGGUGCGCUCCAUUUUGAACUGCUGAGCCCCCAAAUCUAAGGAGGAAUUACGAAGCUUUUUGGGCCUGGUCACUUUUGUGUCACGUUUCAUUCCUGACUUAGCAACAGCCAAUCACCCAUUGCGCGAGCUCGUCAAACAAUCUUCGAACUUUGUUUGGAACCAGGACCAUCAAGUUGCUUUUGAUUCAAUCAAACAGCGAAUUGGACGUUUGGACUAUUUGGGAUAUUACGAUCCGAUAGACCGCACCCUGGUGGUAACCGAUGCGUCGGGCGUAGGGCUCGGUGCGGUGCUCAUUCAAUUUAAGAAUGGCAAGCCAAAAGUCAUCAGCUACGCCUCAAAGAGCCUUUCAGAGACCGAGAUGAAGUAUCCCCCGAUCGAGAAAGAGGCUCUUGGUAUUGUGUGGGCCGUUGAGCGGUUCAGAAUUUACUUGAUCGGUAUCACGUUCGAGCUCGAAACUGAUCAUCGACCGCUAGAAACAGUGUUCACCAGAACAUCCAGGCCGACUCUGAGGAUCGAAAGGUGGCUUCUAAGGCUACAGGCGUUCACGUUUAAUGUGGUUUACCGCAAGGGCUCAGCCAAUCUGGCUGAUUGCCUGUCUAGAUUGGCUUCUCACGUGGAUGAUGUUUCCUGGAAUGAAGAGUCAGAGGUUUUUAUACGAAGAAUCGCGGUUGAGACGUUGGCUGUUUUGAAUGAUGAUCGGGAUGAUGAUUUCGAUGAAAACUCGGAAGUUGAAAUCAAAGCGAUACAAGAAGCCGCUGCCAUCGAUAUAACAGAAGUUGUGAAGGAAACUAAAAGUGACGAAGAACUGAGCGCAGUACAGAAGGCGAUUAUGACACACGACUGGGGAAACUCGGUAGUGAAACCGUACGUCGCAUUUCAGAACGAACUGAGCUACAUAAACGGGUUGGUCAUGAGAGGUUCAAAACUGGUCGUGCCUCGGACAUUGCGUAGUCGUAUGUGCCAACUGGCGCACGAGGGCCAUCCUGGCCAAUCAGUUAUGAAAAGUCGAUUGCGUGACAAAUACUGGUGGCCCAACAUGGACGGAGAGACAGUAAAGCUCUGCGAGUCUUGCGAGGGAUGCCGUUUAGUGCAUUGUGCCAAUCCACCGGAUCCCAUAAGCAGACGGUCGCUACCAGAAAAGCCGUGGAUUGAUCUGGCGAUCGACUUUCUCGGUCCAAUGCCUAGCGGCGAAUAUAUCCUUGUAAUAAUCGAUUAUUACAGCAGGUAUAGGAGCUUGAAAUCAUGACCAAAAUCACAGCGCAGGAGACGAUUCUGAGGCUAAAAAGGAUCUUUAGAACGUGGGGUUAUCCGAGAACAAUCACCUUGGAUAAUGGCAAACAGUUCGUUUCCAAAGAAUUUGGAAAUUUCUGCAAAACGUUAGGUAUUCAUUUGAAUCACAGCACACCCUACUGGCCGCAAGCCAACGGCGAGGUCGAGCGGCAAAACAGAUCCUUACUGAAACGACUGAAGAUAUCUAACGCCCUCUACGGCAAUUGGAAAACGGAGCUCGACGACUACCUGAUCCUUUAUAACAAUUCGCCUCACAGCGUGACUGGCCAAGCACCGAGUGAACUUCUCCAAAACAGGAAACUCCGCUAUAAACUACCCCUAUUGGAUGUCCUCAGCUCAACACCACCAAGUACCGAAUUCCGCGAUCGUGACACUCAAAAGAAAUUCGAAGGAAAAGUACGAGAGGACAAUAGGCGAGGAGCGAAACGUAGCGAGAUAGAAAUCGGUGACAAAGUUUUGAUGAAGAACCUGCUACCGAAAGACAAGCUCUCCACCGACUUCCACAAAGAGAAGUUCUUGGUUGUAGACAAAGAAGGUACAAAUGUCACGAUCGAAUCGGAUGAAAAUGAUAAACGCUACGAACGUAAUACAUCUCAUUUGCGCAAGAUCACAGAACCUCUGGACAUGAUGCCUCUGCGGGAGUAUCCAGUGGAUCAUCAGAUGGAAGCAUUGAUUAGUCCACCUCACUCGCCACAGGUACAACACCCGUUUCACCACGCGAGUCCAUUGAUUGCUACGGAGCAGAUCGAACCAGAAAUCGGGGACUAUCAAGAUGCAGUUCCGGUCCGUAGAUCAUCUCGAAUACCGAAACCGAAGUGUCGUUACAGUCCUUAAGUUUCAGUUAAAAUUAAGACUUUUCAAUCGGUAGAGUAGAAUACUUCAAAUGUUAAAAUCUAGUUUAUUGUCGAUUAAAGCUUAAAAGUAUAAA